GACGAACGCUGGCGGCGUGCCUAAUACAUGCAAGUAGAACGCUGAAGGAGGAGCUUGCUUCUCUGGAUGAGUUGCGAACGGGUGAGUAACGCGUAGGUAACCUGCCUGGUAGCGGGGGAUAACUAUUGGAAACGAUAGCUAAUACCGCAUAAGAGUAGAUGUUGCAUGACAUUUACUUAAAAGGUGCAAUUGCAUCACUACCAGAUGGACCUGCGUUGUAUUAGCUAGUUGGUGAGGUAACGGCUCACCAAGGCAACGAUACAUAGCCGACCUGAGAGGGUGAUCGGCCACGCUGGGACGGGGACACGGCCCAGACUACUACGGGAGGCAGCAGUAGGGAAUCUUCGGCAAUGGACGGAAGUCUGACCGAGCAACGCCGCGUGAGUGAAGAAGGUUGUCGGAUCGUAAAGCUCUGUUGUAAGAGAAGAACGAGUGUGAGAGUGGAAAGUUCACACUGUGACGGUAUCUUACCAGAAAGGGACGGCUAACUACGUG
rnacentral:rRNA from 1 species